AUACGUAGGGGGCUAGCGUUAUCCGGAUUUACUGGGCGUAAAGAGUGCGUAGGUGGUCUUGUAAGCGUGGGGUGAAAGGCAGUGGCUUAACCAUUGUAAGCCUUGCGAACUGCAAGACUUGAGUGCAGGAGAGGAAAGUGGAAUUCCUAGUGUAGCGGUGAAAUGCGUAGAUAUUAGGAGGAACACCAGUAGCGAAGGCGGCUUUCUGGACUGUAACUGACACUGAGGCACGAAAGCGUGGGGAGC
rnacentral:rRNA from 1 species